UUAUUAUUAUUAUUAUUAUCUUUGCCAUAUUGUUUAUGGUAAAAUCUGCAUAAUGCAUGUUGAGUUCCUAUGAAGACUGAAAUGAUUAUGAAAGCUCUAGUACUCACACUAAAAUACUGAUUACUGCCAUUUGUUUAUGGCUUGACCAAUUACAUUACAACUUAAUUUUGCUAAAUGUUGAGUUCCUAUGAAGACUUAAAUGAUUAUGAAAGCUCUAGUACUCACACUAAAAUACUGAUUACUGCCAUUUGUUUAUGGCUUGACCAAUUACAUUACAACUUAAUUUUGCUAAAUGUUGAGUUCCUAUGAAGACUU
rnacentral:misc_RNA from 1 species